ACUGAUGCUGACCAAAUUGCUUUUAAUGU
rnacentral:piRNA from 1 species